CCUCCCCAGUCUUGCGCUCAGUGGUGUGCAGCAUUUGAACAGAGGCAGACAGGGGAAGCAGAAUCAGUAGCUAGACAUGACCUUAGAAUAAAUUUGAGGAGUAACCCGAUGGUUUCAAACCACGGACCUUGAACAUCUGGAUUUCCCUUCGUAUUGGAUAUUUAAUUUAAAAGGAGGUGUUGGAGGAAUAUCUCCCCUCAGCGUUGGACUCUAUCUACCAGUUCCUCAGCAUAAAACCAUACCUGGCGCAGGUCUCAGAGUCUCCUUAAUCUUAUUUGUAGAUAGACAGCGAGCCCGGCUGGCGACACAUUACAGAGUAUCUUUAUUUAAAGCGCUUUAACAGAAAAUGCGAAUCCCUGCCUUCUCCGUGAGGGAGCCGAACCCCCGUCGUUGGCAUCUGAAACAGCUGGCUUGUGUCUAGAAAAUUGUGGAUUAACGAUUUUUUUUACCCCUUAUCAAAAGGAACCUCGGACGUCUUUCAGUGGCCUGUAGCCACAAUGAGCGUCGAUUUAAUUGAAUUAACUACAUGAGCGGUGUCAAAAGAAACGCGUUUCUCUCCGAUUUAAAAAGGGAAAAAACCCAUAUCUGCUGAAAUAAACGGCGCCAGGAAAACAUGGAAAACGAGGUGUUCACUCCUUUGCUGGAGCAGUUCAUGCUCACACCUCUGGUCUGCUGGGUGAAGACGGUCGGACACUCGACGGUGACCGAUGGCACCAAAUUAUCGGAAUAUAUUGAAUUAGUGGAUGGGAUUUACCUGAAUGAGAUAAUGCUUGAGAUAAAUCCCAAAGCCACAGUGCAGCGCACCAACAAGAAAGUGAACAAUGACUCCACACUGCGCAUCCAGAACCUUUCUAUUCUCAUUAGGCAGAUUAAAUCCUACUAUCAGGAGUGUCUCCAACAGCUGGUGAUGAUGCCUUUACCAAAUGUGCUGAUACUGGGCCGGAACCCCCUCUCUGCACAAGGUCUGGAAGAGAUGAAGAAACUGUUGCUGUUGCUACUAGGCUGUGCUGUCCAGUGUGAGAAGAAGGAAGAGUACAUUGAGCGUAUCCAGACUCUGGACUUUGACACCAAAGCUGCCAUAGCAUCACAUAUCCAAGAGGUGACUCAUAACCAAGAAAAUGUAGUGGACCUGCAGUGGUUGGAAAGUGGUGAAAUACCUCCAGAGGAUCUGGACAGCCUCUCCAGAAACCUGGCUUUCCACCUCAAGCGCCUGGUGGAUGAAAGGGACACACAGCUUGAGACUAUAGUAGAGCUUACCCAGGAGAGAGACUGUGUGCAGCUCUCUCCACUGGCUCCCUGUUCAACCCAGUCUCCCGGUGACUCUCCCAGUAUGAGGAGGACUGAGAGCCGACAGCACCUCUCUGUGGAGUUGGCUGAUGCCAAGGCCAAGAUAAGACGCCUUCGGCAGGAACUAGAGGAGAAGAGUGAGCAGCUUUUGGACACCAGGCAGGAGCUUGAGAACAUGGAGGUCGAGCUCAAGAGACUUCAGCAAGAGAGCUAUCAGCUGCUGUCAGAUGCUCGGUCGGCUCGGGCCUAUCGUGACGAGCUGGAUUCGCUCCGAGAGAAAGCGAUACGCGUGGACAAGCUGGAGAGCGAGCUGAGCCGAUACAAGGAGAGACUUCAUGACAUCGAGUUUUACAAGGCCAGAGUUGAGGAGCUGAAGGAGGACAACCAGAUUCUGCUGGAGACUAAGACGAUGCUGGAGGAGCAGCUAGAUGCUAGCAGGACCCGGUCCGACAAAUUACAUCUCCUGGAGAAGGAGAAUCUACAGGUCAAAUCAAAGAUCCACGACCUGGAGAUGGAGCGGGACAUGGACCGUAAGCGAAUGAAGGAGCUGUUAGAGGAGAACCUUGUGCUUGAGAUGGCACAGAAACAGAGCAUGGAUGAAUCCCUGCACCUUGGAUGGGAGCUGGAACAAUUAUCAAAGACACCAGAGCUAACAGAAGCCCCUCAGAAGUCUCUGGGGGAGGAGGUGAAUGAGCUAACGUCAAGCCGUCUGCUAAAGCUGGAGAAAGACAACCAGACCCUGCUGAAGACGGUUGAGGAACUCAGAGCAGCGGCCAGUCAGGACACUGUGACAAAACUGGUCAAAGCUAACCAGGAAAACCAGAAGCUGAGCAAGAAAUUGGAGUCGUUGGAGAGCGAACUGACAGCAGACAGAGAGUCGCUCCGCAGUGCCGAAUCUCUCAGUACUGACCUGAUGAAGGAGAAGGCUUUGCUGGAGAAGACUCUGGAAACCCUCAGAGAAAACUCAGAGAGACAGAUGAAGGGUCUCGAACAGGAGAACAAGCACCUGAGCCAAACCGUGUCGUCUCUGCGUCAGCGCUGCCAGGUGGGUGCCGAGGCCCGGGUCAAGGAUGUGGAAAAAGAGAACCGCAUUCUCCACGAGUCGAUCUGUGAGACAACUGCCAAACUAAAUAAGAUGGAGUUUGAAAGGAAACAGCUGCGCAAAGAGCUUGAAGUUAUGAAGGAGAAAGGAGAAAGAGCAGAAGAGCUGGAAAUUCAGAUACAGAAGUUGGAAAGGGAAAACGAGAGCCUGCAGAAGAAAGUUGCCAGUCUUGGAAUCACCUGUGAAAAGGUGGCUUCUUUGGAGAAGGAGAAUAGUGAGCUGGAGGCAGAAGGCCGCCGCCUCAAGAAGAAGCUGGACACCCUGAAAAACAUGGCCUUCCAGCUGGAGGCUUUGGAAAAAGAAAACACUCAACUGGAGCAGGAGAACCUGGAGCUUCGACGCUCAGCUGAGAGUCUCCGCUCGGCGGGGGCUAAGGCUGCUCAGCUGGAGGCCGAGAACAGGGAGCUGGAGAGCGAGAAGAGCCAACUGAAACGCAGUCUGGAGCUGCUCAAAGCCUCGUCUAAGAAGACUGAGAGAUUAGAGGUGAGCUACCAGGGCCUAGAUACUGAGAACCAGCGCCUGCAGAAGGCUUUAGAGAACAGCAGCAAGAAGAUCCAGCAGUUGGAGGCAGAGCUGCAAGAGGUGGAGUCUGAGAAUCAGUCCCUCCAGCGUAACCUGGAGGAGCUCAAGAUCUCCAGUAAACGUCUCGAGCAGCUGGAGCAGGAGAACAAGGCUCUGGAGUUGGAAAGCUCCCAGCUAGAGAAAGACAAGAAGCUCCUGGAAAAGGAGAACAAGCGACUGAGGCAGCAGGCUGAGAUCCGCGACUCAAAGCUGGAUGAUAGCAACCAGCGCAUCACUACCCUGGAGAAGGAAAAUCGGACAAUGGGCAAGGAGAUGAUCUUUUUCAGGGACUCCUGUACAAGAGUCAAGGACCUGGAAAGGGAGAAAAAGGAGCUGGUCAAACAGGCCACGAUCGAUAAGAAGACCCUUGUCACGCUCAGAGAGGAGCUUGUGAGUGAGAAGCUGCGGACUCAGCAGAUGACCAAUGAUCUUGAGAAACUGACCCAUGAGUUGGAAAAGAUUGGACUGAACAAAGAGAGGCUCCUGCAUGACGAGAGCUCAGACGACAGGUUUAAGCUCCUGGAAACCAAACUGGAGUCGACCCUGAAAUCAACUCUGGAGAUCAAAGAGGAGAAAAUUGCUGCACUUGAGGCAAGACUGCAGGAGUCCUCCAACCUUAACCAGCAGCUUCGCCAGGAGCUGAAAACGGUGAAGAAAAACUACGAGGCGCUCCGGCAGAGAGAGGAGGAGGAGAGGAUGGUGCAGAGCUCGCCCCCUAAAGUGGGGGAAGACCCUCAGGCUGUCAGUAAAUGGGAGAAAGAAAGCCAUGAAGCAACCAGAGAACUGCUAAAAGUCAAAGACAGACUCAUUGAAGUGGAGAGGAAUAAUGCUACUCUGCAGGCUGAGAAGGUGGCCCUGAGGAGCCAACUCAAACAACUGGAAACCCAAAACUCCAACCUGCAGGCUCAGAUAGUGGCUGUGCAGAGGCAGACGGCCUCUUUACAGGAGAACAAUACAACGCUACAGACGCAGAAUGCCAAACUACAGGUGGAAAACUCAACUCUGAGCUCACAGAGCGCAUCCCUGAUGGCCCAGAACGCCCAGCUGCAGACCCAGCAGAGCAGUGUGGAAGGAGAGCGUGAAGGAGCGCUGAGGGAGAAAGAGGAGCUGAGAGCUACCUAUGAACUGCUGCUGCGCGAUCACGAGAAGCUGGCAGCGCUCCACGAGAGGCAGGCAGCCGAAUAUGAAGCGCUGAUCGGGAAGCACGGUGGGCUGAAGACCUCCCACAAGAGCCUGGAACAGCAGCACAGGGACUUGGAGGACAAGUACAAACAGCUCUUGCAGAGAAAGGGGGAGCUGGAGGAGCUGGAGAAGAAUCUGAAGGAGCAGCAGGAAAAGAUGGCCCUGGAGAAUCAGACCCACCAAGCUACAGCUGACCAGUACAAACUGCUCAAAGAGGAAAAUGAUAGGUUGAAUAGCACCUAUCGUCAGCUCUUGAAGGACAAUGAAAAUCUCCAGCUGGACCAUAAAAACCUAAAGAGCCAGUUGAACAGUGCAAAGCUGGACCAAACCAAGCUGGAGGCUGAGUUUUCUAAACUGAAGGAGCAGUACCAGCAGCUGGACAUCACCUCCACCAAGCUAACCAACCAGUGUGAGUUGUUGAGCCAGCUGAAGGGAAACUUGGAGGAAGAGAACCGUCACCUGUUAGAUCAAAUCCAGACUUUGAUGUUACAAAAUCGCACACUGCUGGAGCAGACCAUGGAGAGCAAGGACCUGUUCCACGUAGAGCAAAGACAAUACAUAGAUAAGCUGAACGAGCUGAGGAGGCAGAAGGAGAAGUUGGAGGAGAAGAUCAUGGACCAGUACAAGUUCUAUGACCCUUCACCUCCACGCAGGCGCGGCAACUGGAUUACUCUAAAGAUGAAGAAGCUGAUCAAGCCGAAGAGCCGGGACAGGAUCCGGUCUCUCACACUGACUCCAUCUCGAUCAGAGUUUGGAGACAGUUUUCUGAUGUUUCCCCAGGACAGCCAGGACAGCUCAUCCAUAGGCUCGGGCACCAACUCGCUAGAUGACACGCUCUCACACAUGAGCAGCAGGAGGAGAGGGCAGCAGUCUCAUGCCCAAGUGCAGGGUUCCUCCAAUGCUAUAAAAAGGUUGCCUUUCAUGAGGAACAGAUCCAAGGACAAAGACAAGGCCAAGGCCAUCUACCGGCGCUCCAUGUCUAUGAAUGACCUGCUUCAGACCAUGGCAAUGGCAGGCGGUCCUGAGGCUCAGUGGGCGGGCAGCAGUGAGAAUCUAGACGGGGCUGAAGCCGGAGAUGCCAACAUGACGGGCAGCAGCAGGCGCAGCGGGCAGCGCAUGAAGGAACUCGCCUUUUCCACCAAUGCCAUUGAUUGUGCCACCCUCACCCUGCCUAGUUCAAGUCACAGUAGAGCCAAGCACAGGCUUCAGGUCAAAGACAAUGCCUCCUGCGAGGAUGUCGCCGGCUCAUUGGAUGAUCCCAAGAGUCAAGGGCCACAGAGGUAUAUGUCUCCCUGCCAUUUGAAUCGUUGUGCUGUUGGUCUGAGCGCUGUGUGCAGAGUGUCCUGUAGCAUCUGUACCGCCAGACCCUCCAGUCUUCAUAGCAACAGGACCACCAGUAGUAAUAGUAACAAUAACUCCCACCUCACUUCUCCUCUGGAGGGCAAAGGCACAUUGAACGGCAGUCUGAGCAGGCCUCACAGCGAGAGCAGCGGUGAGUUCAGCCUGAGUCUGGACCAGGAGGUGUGGUCCAGCAGCGGCAGCAGCCCCGUCCAGCAGCCCACCUCCUCACGCUCCUCCCACCAGAGCCCCCUGCAGCUGCGCAGAUCUCUUGACCCAUCCGCCGCCGUGGGCAGCGCGGUCCAAUCCCAGAUCAGGAAGACGGGAUCCCCAGGGAACGAGGUGCUUUCCCUGCAGCAGUUCCUGGAUGAGGGUAUUGAUCCUGCAGAGUCUGGCAGUCAGGAGAACCUCACUGUAGACUCUCCUCGCCUCUCCUCCACCUCUGAGCACGGCCAGAAAGAACGCACUGUCACAAAGGGCCGGGGCAUACUGCGCUCGUCCAGCGGGAAGGCAGCAGCAGUCAGCGCUGACCGGCCUCCGAGGUCUUCCGGACAACCAGGACGCCCUUCCCUGCGGAAGGCCGAGAGCACACGGGUGAAAGGCUCCGCCCCGAUCCGCGCCAGCCUGUCUUCACAGGGCAAAGCGACCUCUGUCUCCGAACGGCUCGAUUCAGCCUCCUCCACCCUGCCCCGGGCCAGCAGUGUCAUCUCCACUGCUGAAGGUACCACACGGCGUACCAGCAUCCACGACCUGCUGUCCAAGGACAACCGGCAGCCCGUUUCGGUUGACGCUCCUGCCGCUGCUGCUUCCACCAGGGCUGGGCUACGCUCGCAGCCCACACCCAAUGUGGAGGGCAGAAAGUCUAAAAGCAGGAGCGGGGAGCCGCAGCAAAGCUGCUAAACCCUGUCCCCCCCACCCUCGUCUGUCUGCUACCAUGCUGUGAGCGCGUGGACACUUCAGUAGAGAAAAGUGGCUUCCUUCUCUGUUUUCUUCUUUCUUCCUUGAAUCAAGGAAACAACUUAAAAUUAUUAGAAAAUGUUACAGUGACAGUUUUUAUUUGUUUUCUUUCCACUAAGACUCCGAUGGCAGAUUGCACUGCCACGUGUCCUUCAGUGUGACGGACAGUUAGACAUGCACUAGUCUCUGUGGACUAAAAUUAAAGUGCCAGUGUUCACACAACAGCCAACAGGGCAACCUUGAACCAGUGAGACAGACCUUCUUCUGCCCAGUGCCAUGGUCAUAAAACAUUUUGUAACUGGGCAGAACGCACAAACAAAGACAACAUGAAGCAUGUCCGAAGAAUCACAAUCUGCAUGGAGCAAUCAGUCAAUCAUCCCGCUUCCUUUAUCCAAUCAAAGAGAACAGUGUUCAACGGAAACAUGCCAGGAUGCCAAAUGGACUCCGACAGGAAGCCAUGACAGCUUGAUUGAGUGAAGGUAGUGUGAGAGAGAAGUAGGGACUUAUCAUGGGAGUGUUUCAGGUCACCUAUAAGGCAGAGACACACCCUGAGAAAAACCCUACAUGUAGUUCAUCUUCACCCUUCAUUUUCAUUUCACCAAAUGGCACUGAAGCAUCUCAUUUAUCACUUCCAUUGCUGCUCUAAUCCAGAGAAUAACUGUAAAAGCACAGUCUUUACAUUCUAAAAAGACACUCCGUAAGGAAGCGUUUAAUAAAUCUGUCUGAAGUAUAGGUGACCUGCGACCUGCCCAGUGCAAACGGAGCAUGUGCAGACUUCUGUUGUGUUGAACAUGUUGGCAGUGAUGAGACCCAGUGUUUUCCUCCUUUUCCACUUUUACAUGAAUUCAUUUGAUGUAAUUAAAAUUCAUCAAGACUA